rnacentral:rRNA from 1 species
CACCAGAGAUGGAGCUCUUCAGUUCGGCUGGACCGGAGACAGGUGCUGCAUGGCUGUCGUCAGCUCGUGUCGUGAGAUGUUGGGUUAAGUCCCGCAACGAGCGCAACCUCGCCCUUAGUUGCCAUCAUUUAGUUGGGCACUCUAAGGGGACUGCCGGUGAUAAGCCGGAGGAAGGUGGGGAUGACGUCAAGUCCUCAUGGCCCUUACAGGCUGGGCUACACACGUGCUACAAUGGCGGUGACAGAGGGACGCAAAGGAGCAAUCCUUCGCAAAUCUCAAAAAGCCGUCUCAGUUCGGAUUGUGCUCUGCAACUCGAGCACAUGAAGUUGGAAUCGCUAGUAAUCGCAGAUCAGCACGCUGCGGUGAAUACGUUCCCGGGCCUUGUACACACCGCCCGUCACACCAUGGGAGUUGGCUUUACCUGAAGGCGGUGCGCUAACCCGCAAGGGAGGCAGCCGACCACGGUAGGGUCAGCGACUGGGGUGAAGUCGUAACAAGGUAAGCGUAGUGCU